rnacentral:lncRNA from 1 species
AGUGGUUAUAAAGGGAUGCCACACCACUGGAGUCCUUGGUACUGGCAUGUUAAACUGAGUGAGACAAAUCCUACCUAAGAAUCCUAGCUGAGUAGGGGGCUCUGUUCCCUCCAGCAUGUGUCAGUUUAUUCCUUACACCACUAUUAGCAAACUUGUGGUUGCCCCUAGUCCUGAGGGAUCACAGAGCCUAUGGAGUCCACAGUCUAACUCAUGGCAACUGAUGAACAGCAUUUGAGCUGGGAGGUCAAGAGCAUGCAAAGAAGGCAAUAUUACUUGGUAACUGAAGCGUUCUUCAUACUGUGCUGACUCCAAACAAUCUGAUGGAGGUUUUACUGAUGGCAAACUAGGAUGCCUGCUGUCUUCAGCCAGUCUGUGUUUGAUCUAUCUGACUGGAUCCACAUAGGAGAGGAUAUGCUGUGGUUUCUCUUCUCUGAUGAGAUCUUAACAGCACUAGAGAUUAAUCUGUGUCAGUCUUGCUCUGUCUAG